rnacentral:rRNA from 1 species
GAUUAAGUUAUUAAGGGCGCACGGUGGAUGCCUUGGCACUAGAAGCCGAUGAAGGACGUUACUAACGACGAUAUGCUUUGGGGAGCUGUAAGUAAGCUUUGAUCCAGAGAUUUCCGAAUGGGGAAACCCAGCAUGAGUUAUGUCAUGUUAUCGAUAUGUGAAUACAUAGCAUAUCAGAAGGCACACCCGGAGAACUGAAACAUCUUAGUACCCGGAGGAAGAGAAAGAAAAUUCGAUUCCCUUAGUAGCGGCGAGCGAAACGGGAAGAGCCCAAACCAACAAGCUUGCUUGUUGGGGUUGUAGGACACUCUAUACGGAGUUACAAAGGACGACAUUAGACGAAUCAUCUGGAAAGAUGAAUCAAAGAAGGUAAUAAUCCUGUAGUCGAAAAUGUUGUCUCUCUUGAGUGGAUCCUGAGUACGACGGAGCACGUGAAAUUCCGUCGGAAUCUGGGAGGACCAUCUCCUAAGGCUAAAUACUCUCUAGUGACCGAUAGUGAACCAGUACCGUGAGGGAAAGGUGAAAAGCACCCCGGAAGGGGAGUGAAAUAGAACCUGAAACCGUGUGCUUACAAGUAGUCAGAGCCCGUUAAUGGGUGAUGGCGUGCCUUUUGUAGAAUGAACCGGCGAGUUACGAUUUGAUGCAAGGUUAAGCAGUAAAUGUGGAGCCGUAGCGAAAGCGAGUCUGAAUAGGGCGUUUAGUAUUUGGUCGUAGACCCGAAACCAGGUGAUCUACCCUUGGUCAGGUUGAAGUUCAGGUAACACUGAAUGGAGGACCGAACCGACUUACGUUGAAAAGUGAGCGGAUGAACUGAGGGUAGCGGAGAAAUUCCAAUCGAACCUGGAGAUAGCUGGUUCUCUCCGAAAUAGCUUUAGGGCUAGCCUCAAGUGAUGAUUAUUGGAGGUAGAGCACUGUUUGGACGAGGGGCCCCUCUCGGGUUACCGAAUUCAGACAAACUCCGAAUGCCAAUUAAUUUAACUUGGGAGUCAGAACAUGGGUGAUAAGGUCCGUGUUCGAAAGGGAAACAGCCCAGACCACCAGCUAAGGUCCCAAAAUAUAUGUUAAGUGGAAAAGGAUGUGGCGUUGCCCAGACAACUAGGAUGUUGGCUUAGAAGCAGCCAUCAUUUAAAGAGUGCGUAAUAGCUCACUAGUCGAGUGACACUGCGCCGAAAAUGUACCGGGGCUAAACAUAUUACCGAAGCUGUGGAUUGUCCUUUGGACAAUGGUAGGAGAGCGUUCUAAGGGCGUUGAAGCAUGAUCGUAAGGACAUGUGGAGCGCUUAGAAGUGAGAAUGCCGGUGUGAGUAGCGAAAGACGGGUGAGAAUCCCGUCCACCGAUUGACUAAGGUUUCCAGAGGAAGGCUCGUCCGCUCUGGGUUAGUCGGGUCCUAAGCUGAGGCCGACAGGCGUAGGCGAUGGAUAACAGGUUGAUAUUCCUGUACCACCUAUAAUCGUUUUAAUCGAUGGGGGGACGCAGUAGGAUAGGCGAAGCGUGCGAUUGGAUUGCACGUCUAAGCAGUAAGGCUGAGUAUUAGGCAAAUCCGGUACUCAUUAAGGCUGAACUGUGAUGGGGAGAAGACAUUGUGUCUUCGAGUCGUUGAUUUCACACUGCCGAGAAAAGCCUCUAGAUAGAAAAUAGGUGCCCGUACCGCAAACCGACACAGGUAGUCAAGAUGAGAAUUCUAAGGUGAGCGAGCGAACUCUCGUUAAGGAACUCGGCAAAAUGACCCCGUAACUUCGGGAGAAGGGGUGCUCUUUAGGGUUAACGCCCAGAAGAGCCGCAGUGAAUAGGCCCAAGCGACUGUUUAUCAAAAACACAGGUCUCUGCUAAACCGUAAGGUGAUGUAUAGGGGCUGACGCCUGCCCGGUGCUGGAAGGUUAAGAGGAGUGGUUAGCUUCUGCGAAGCUACGAAUCGAAGCCCCAGUAAACGGCGGCCGUAACUAUAACGGUCCUAAGGUAGCGAAAUUCCUUGUCGGGUAAGUUCCGACCCGCACGAAAGGCGUAACGAUUUGGGCACUGUCUCAACGAGAGACUCGGUGAAAUCAUAGUACCUGUGAAGAUGCAGGUUACCCGCGACAGGACGGAAAGACCCCGUGGAGCUUUACUGUAGCCUGAUAUUGAAAUUCGGCACAGCUUGUACAGGAUAGGUAGGAGCCUUUGAAACGUGAGCGCUAGCUUACGUGGAGGCGCUGGUGGGAUACUACCCUAGCUGUGUUGGCUUUCUAACCCGCACCACUUAUCGUGGUGGGAGACAGUGUCAGGCGGGCAGUUUGACUGGGGCGGUCGCCUCCUAAAAGGUAACGGAGGCGCUCAAAGGUUCCCUCAGAAUGGUUGGAAAUCAUUCAUAGAGUGUAAAGGCAUAAGGGAGCUUGACUGCGAGACCUACAAGUCGAGCAGGGUCGAAAGACGGACUUAGUGAUCCGGUGGUUCCGCAUGGAAGGGCCAUCGCUCAACGGAUAAAAGCUACCCCGGGGAUAACAGGCUUAUCUCCCCCAAGAGUUCACAUCGACGGGGAGGUUUGGCACCUCGAUGUCGGCUCAUCGCAUCCUGGGGCUGUAGUCGGUCCCAAGGGUUGGGCUGUUCGCCCAUUAAAGCGGUACGCGAGCUGGGUUCAGAACGUCGUGAGACAGUUCGGUCCCUAUCCGUCGUGGGCGUAGGAAAUUUGAGAGGAGCUGUCCUUAGUACGAGAGGACCGGGAUGGACAUACCUCUGGUGUACCAGUUGUCGUGCCAACGGCAUAGCUGGGUAGCUAUGUGUGGACGGGAUAAGUGCUGAAAGCAUCUAAGCAUGAAGCCCCCCUCAAGAUGAGAUUUCCCAACUUCGGUUAUAAGAUCCCUCAAAGAUGAUGAGGUUAAUAGGUUCGAGGUGGAAGCAUGGUGACAUGUGGAGCUGACGAAUACUAAUCGAUCGAAGACUUAAUCAA